UCCUGAUCGUACAGAAGGCAGAGAAUGUGUGCUGAUUCUAACAAUAAUUAGAAAUGGACUUGGUUUUUAUGAGAAAAUUCAAAGAAAAAUACAGGAGAGGGUGGGGAAUCUGAAUUUUAUAACAAUGACAAUGAUGGCAAGAGUAGUUACCAACUACAUAGAGCUUAUAGGUGGUAAGCACUGUAAUAACCUCUAACAUGCACCCAAAACAAUUCUGUGUGGGAGAUGCAAUUAACUGCCACCAUUUUACAGAUGUUGAAAUCGACACUUAGAAGUAAUUUGCUCAAAGUCACGGAGCUAUGACAGUACAACCCACGAAUUCCUGCUCUCCUAUCUGCUGCUGCUUUAGCCUGGUGAGGCAGCCACCAGGAAGCCAAGGACAGUAGUUCCCCCUUAUCCACAGUUUUGCCAUCCAUGCUUUCAGUUGCCCGAGGUCAACUGCAGCCCAAAAAUGUUACAUACAGUAAGAUGUUUUGAGAGAGGGAGUGAGACCACGUUCAGAUAGCUUUUAUUACUGUUUGUUGUUAGAAUCGUUGUUUUAUUAUUAUUACUGUUAAUCUCGUACUGUGCCUAAUUUAUAAAUUAAGCUUUAUCUUAGAUAUGGAUGUAUAGGAAAAAACUUAGUAUAUAAUAUAUUAGAGAUAGGGUU